CCUCUCUCCCCCUCUCUCUCUCUCGUACUCUUUUCUCUCCUCUCAAGAACGAAGCAACUUCAUGUCUUGCACUGUUCGUCGAUCUUCACCUCGUCAUUCAUCAGCGAAGAAUAACAAAGCCAAAUCUUAAUCCCGUCGUUCAUCACCUCGUACAUCUCUCUUAGCCCCUCAACGUUCAUCUCGCUAGCACUUCUCCUCUUCUCCCUCGUCGUUCGUCUUCGUCGCCGCAGAUCUCGAGGAGGGAGACUUUUAAUCACCUGGCAAGUUGGUUAGAGGAUGCAAGGCAACAUGCCAAUGCAAACAUGACGAUCAUGCGUAUAAGUAAAAUGUGAUCUUGCUCAUAGGAGGACAGUAAACACUGAAGAAGGCAAGCAAUUUGCCAAGGAACAUAGAUUGAUAUUCAUGGAGUGUUCCGCAAAAACUGCUCGGCAUUUAUAAAAACUACUGCAACAAUCUACAAGAAGAUCCAGGAUGGAGUUUUUGAUGAAUGAGGUUAGCUUAUCCUACCUUUUUCUUGCUUCAAAUUUUAUUGUUGCAUUGACACUGUACAAGAAGAUUCAGGAUCGAGGUCAUCCAUGAGUGGUAUGCCAUUUGAUCUACUUGGCAUCACGACACUGCUCAACGUUUCCUUCAAUCCUUCCAUUGCUUUGAAUGAUUGGAUUUAGUUAUUUAAAACAAUAUUAUUUUCAAUAUGACAUCUUUACUAAUCUUAUAAUCCAAGUUUGAGGCAUACAUAUCAUUACUUGAAAUCCUUUGACUUUAGAGCAUCACUCCAUAAUCCAAAUCAUCUGCAGGUUCUGUGUAGCUUCCUGAGUAAAUGAAUAACAUUUGUACCUCUUUUUGGUUUUCCUUUGUGUUGUCUUUGUAUCCAUACAAGUUUUCUUGCGGGUUUCUUUUACCCCUUGCAUCUCACCAGUCCUUGAAGGAGGAAAGAGAAAAGUGAAAAUAAUUAUAUUGAAAAAGAGGGUGUAGAGUGCAUUAGUCUCUGCUCUAUGCUAAAUGUGUCAUUGGAAAGAGUGUUAGAUAUGUUCCACUAUCAGUGAGCAUGCUUUUUGAAAGUUUGACAAUGAUUUCCGUCAUUUACGAGUGUGCUGCAUUCUUGUUGCUCAACAUAUGUAAAGCUUAAAAAGCAUUGCUUGUUCAUUUGUUAAGCUUCUGUAUCUAUGUUUACUUUUUAAAUUUGCGGAACAAUGCAGGUUGGCUGGUUGCUGCUUCAACUGAGAUUUUUAUCUGUUCCUUAUAAUGUUUUCUCGCUUUUGUGAUCAUCAUCCUGAGAUGCCGCUCUAUGCAGGAUCUAAUACAUCUUUAUUAUCUAUGCUUUUCGUCAUAUAUCUGAUUGAUUUGAUGCAAAAUAUUUUCACUGUCUAAAUGAUACUCUAAAUUUGGCUAGAAGUAAUAUGAAUUUUGCUGAACUAGUGGGAGGAUAUUUUAAGGGAAUUAAGGUGAUGGUCUUUUUUUGUUUUCUCUCUUGCAUAUGGCCCUUACCUCAUGAUCUGAAACAUAUAACACUUCAUGCACAGUAAAUAGAUGUAAGUGUAAGGUAUUUGGUGUGUUAAAACAUGUCCUCACUCUAUUUGGUGUUUUUUUUCUUUUUCUUGGUUUUGUUUUUAUUUGCAUUUACCCUUCCUCUUAACCCUUUGAGCCAUAUCCUUUUCCAUAAUUAUCUCAAACAAGCCAAUUGCCUCCUUUUUUUUUUCACCCUUGUAGUGAAUAGUAAAGUUAGAGCGAUUGUCUUGAGUGAUAUUUGAAAAAAAAAGGAAAGGAAAAUGAUUAGAUUCUUGUGGUGUAGUGGAAAUUUUAUGUAUAUAUUUGAAUAAAUGCAAUUGCAAAUUCAUAGAAAAAGUCACCCAAAGUCAAAGAUGGUUGGGAAAAUGAAAAAAAAAAAAUGAAAAAAGAGAAAAAGAAAGAAAAUCUAAAGAUAGUUCAUUAUUGUCAUGUUUUUUAAUAAGUUUGGGGGAACCUUAUCCCUAAAUGAUUGAGCAUGAUUUUUGAUUUAUGGUUAUUUAUCUCUUUUGCUCCUACUAGACUUCACUAUAUUAGAAUUGAGCACCACUAUCUAAAUUUAUUCACACCCUUUAGCCCUAGCAUGCAUUACCGCCUUAAAAAGUCCUUUUGACCUUAGAGGGUUGAGUAAUUGUCGGUGGUGUAAGAUUAGAAUCAAGCAUAUGAGCGAGUGUGUCAUGUCGAGAUAUCAAGUAACCUUCUCCUAUUCUAUUUCUUGUUACAUUCAUCGGCUCCAUUUUCAAAGUUUAGAGAAGCUACCGUGAGUAGUGAAUUUGAAACUAUUUGAGAGAACGCGGUAUGUAUGGUUGUAGAAUUUCAGAGAAUGUGCUAUAUCUAGUUCUCUAUGCUUAGUGUAUGGUAUGUUUUAAUCAACCUAUGGACAUCUUUAAGAAUGCUUACUUUUAGUGUCUAGAAAUUCUUGCAUUCAUUUGUGUUUGCUCCUUUCCAAAAUCUCGCUUAAGAGCACCCUUUUUAUUUUCUUUUGGCUUUCUUUGGGUUUUUAUUUUUGGUUUGCCUUCGAUUCUAAGAUUUAGAGUUGUGGUAAAACUCUUAAAAAACCCUUAUGAGAGCAUUACUCUUACUCACUGGCAACUUUGGGGUUUAAAUAGCUUGUCACUUCGUUAAAGGUGACCGUGAUUCCUACGAAAAUGAGUUAGUGUAUAUAGUUAUUUAUUUAUGUGUACUUAGUUUUAGCAAACUUUGCAUUGCUAUCCUCUUUGUGGCAUUUCCUUCCCUCAUAUGUCUUUUUACACAUUGCUUGAGGACAAGCAAAUAUUCAAGUUUGGGGCAAGUUGAUGAGUGAGAUUUAUCUCACUCUUAGAGUAGUUUUAAGGAUAUUUCACUUAAUUUAUUUCCCAUAUUAGUUUUCUUUUUACUUAAUUUCACCCUUUUUUUUUCUAUCUAACUCUCUUUUAGCACAUAUGAACAUGUCUAAUCAUCCCCCUCCCUUACUCUUUCAUUUGAUCUUUGAUGUGUGGGAACUCAAGCUCCUACAAGCUUAGAGGGGGAGAAAAAAGGGAAGCAAGGAGGAAGAAGCCUGCCCGAGAAUCACAAGGCUUGCCCGAGAAAAGAAGCCGCCCGAGCUUUAGACAGAUCACCCGGGCCAGGCCGCCCGCUCGAGCUAUAGGACCGCCCACCCAGGCUCUUCAGUGGCCAAACAUUCUACCCCUUAUGUGAAUAAUGGGGCACCCCCGAGCCUCUAACUCGAACCCACUCAACCCGCACCGCUUAGGCCCUCACUAAACUCGCCCAUGCUUCCUCUCACAUCCCGCCCAGAACCAUAUUCAAGGCCACCUAAGGUAAAAAGCACCACUUGCAACCGGAGCAGGGUUGAUCUAUGCUCAGCUUUGUAGUCUAACGCAAAUAUUUUGGAGGAAUAAGAUGCAAUGAACAUGUUUACCAGUAACAAUGUAUUAAAUUUAUGUUGCGUGUCAAAAUAAUGUAUCAAAGACGUGAUGGUUGAAUUUUUCAUGUGCAAGAGUAUAAAUCAUGAUGUUGACUACAAAAAUUGGCCUGUCCAAUUGUAGUGUAAGAAUAAUAUAUGCAGAGUUUAAAUAAAAAUACCAUAUGAGAU